AAUUGGGAUCAAAGAUUCAGCUGCCUUUCCAUUUAAGCAGCACAGACAGCCCAAAGUGAGUUUUCCUGUACAGUUACUCUUCUGUUAUCUGUAACUGAUCUAUGACAUUUUGGGAAAAGACAGCC
ensembl:snoRNA